UUCGGCUGGAAAAGAAGGGGCGCGCCCACACCUGGGGGGGAGGUGGGAGGGGAGAGAGGGAGAGAGUGGGUUUCAGUGGGAGGGGACCUGGGGGGGGAGCUGCUCGGAGGGCCGCGUUUGAACGCCGGGGGGGAGCCCCCCCAGUCCGGGGGGCAAGGCAGUCCACCUGCGCGCCCCGCUGGGCACGCUGCUGAGGUGUCCUGUGCGGACAGUCCCGUCAAGGGACCUGGGGGCCGGAGGCGCGGUUUGCUCCCACCCCGAGUUUGGAGCACGGAAAUCUGGGGUCUGCCUGCCGAGGUGGAGUGGGGGCGCUAGAAAGGAUGGAGACGCGGGCUGGAGCAGCGGCUGUGGGCCAGGCGUAAAAAAGGUUUCAUUUCUCCGACUGACAGCUUUCUUCGGAUUUGAUGUUUCAAGACAGUUCUAUUCUGGGCAGCUUGCUAUGUGGGAAAACUGACACGGUGGAGCAAGUGACCUGUUAAGACCAAAAAAUAAAUGAACAGUGUUAG
rnacentral:lncRNA from 1 species